AGUGGCGCGUGCUACCAUGCAAGUCGAACGAUGAUGCCCAGCUUGCUGGGCGGAUUAGUGGCGAACGGGUGAGUAAUACGUGAGUAACCUGCCCUUGACUCUGGGAUAAGCCUGGGAAACUGGGUCUAAUACUGGAUACUACCGUCCACCGCAUGGUGGGUGGUGGAAAGGGUUUUACUGGUUUUGGAUGGGCUCACGGCCUAUCAGCUUGUUGGUGGGGUAAUGGCUCACCAAGGCGACGACGGGUAGCCGGCCUGAGAGGGUGACCGGCCACACUGGGACUGAGACACGGCCCAGACUCCUACGGGAGGCAGCAGUGGGGAAUAUUGCACAAUGGGCGGAAGCCUGAUGCAGCGACGCCGCGUGAGGGAUGACGGCCUUCGGGUUGUAAACCUCUUUCAGUAGGGAAGAAGCGAGAGUGACGGUACCUGCAGAAGAAGCGCCGGCUAACUACGUGCCAGCAGCCGCGGUAAUACGUAGGGCGCAAGCGUUGUCCGGAAUUAUUGGGCGUAAAGAGCUCGUAGGCGGUUUGUCGCGUCUGCUGUGAAAGCCCGGGGCUCAACCCCGGGUCUGCAGUGGGUACGGGCAGACUAGAGUGCAGUAGGGGAGACUGGAAUUCCUGGUGUAGCGGUGAAAUGCGCAGAUAUCAGGAGGAACACCGAUGGCGAAGGCAGGUCUCUGGGCUGUUACUGACGCUGAGGAGCGAAAGCAUGGGGAGCGAACAGGAUUAGAUACCCUGGUAGUCCAUGCCGUAAACGUUGGGCACUAGGUGUGGGGGACAUUCCACGUUUUCCGCGCCGUAGCUAACGCAUUAAGUGCCCCGCCUGGGGAGUACGGCCGCAAGGCUAAAACUCAAAGGAAUUGACGGGGGCCCGCACAAGCGGCGGAGCAUGCGGAUUAAUUCGAUGCAACGCGAAGAACCUUACCAAGGCUUGACAUUCACCGGACCGCCCCAGAGAUGGGGUUUCCCUUCGGGGCUGGUGGACAGGUGGUGCAUGGUUGUCGUCAGCUCGUGUCGUGAGAUGUUGGGUUAAGUCCCGCAACGAGCGCAACCCUCGUUCUAUGUUGCCAGCACGUGAUGGUGGGGACUCAUAGGAGACUGCCGGGGUCAACUCGGAGGAAGGUGGGGAUGACGUCAAAUCAUCAUGCCCCUUAUGUCUUGGGCUUCACGCAUGCUACAAUGGCCGGUACAAAGGGUUGCGAUACUGUGAGGUGGAGCUAAUCCCAAAAAGCCGGUCUCAGUUCGGAUUGAGGUCUGCAACUCGACCUCAUGAAGUCGGAGUCGCUAGUAAUCGCAGAUCAGCAACGCUGCGGUGAAUACGUUCCCGGGCCUUGUACACACCGCCCGUCAAGUCACGAAAGUUGGU
rnacentral:rRNA from 1 species